rnacentral:rRNA from 1 species
UACGUAGGGUGCAAGCGUUAAUCGGAAUUACUGGGCGUAAAGCGUGCGCAGGCGGUCUUGCAAGACAGAUGUGAAAUCCCCGGGCUUAACCUGGGAACUGCACUUGUGACUGCAUGGCUGGAGUGCGGCAGAGGGGGAUGGAAUUCCGCGUGUAGCAGUGAAAUGCGUAGAUAUGCGGAGGAACACCGAUGGCGAAGGCAAUCCCCUGGGCCUGCACUGACGCUCAUGCACGAAAGCGUGGGGAGCAAACAGG